CCCCCUCAGUGUGAGGGACAUGAUGGAUGCCAGGGAGGAGAUGCUGACCCUGCUACAGAAGCUCUGGGCCAAACUGCAGGGUCUCCCCACCGCCAGCCCUCUGGAGAUGGGGGCCUUCGCUGUCCUCGUCCUCUUUAUCGUGGUCUUCCUGCUCAUGCUGCUGAUGACCUGUUUGACGUGCUGCUGCUGUCACAGAACCAGAACCAAGGGCCCACAUAGUCAGCUAACCUGAGACAAUCCCCACUUCCCCCAAUAAUGAGGAGAGACAUUAUAAACAGGCACUCUACUGACCUCUAAACCCCAGAAGAAUGAGGACCCAUGCAGAGAGGUGUGAACUGAAAACCCACUGUCACCACUAUAUCACCAGGAGAGACAUUCUGGAGAAGCACUCUAUGGGCCUAUUAACCCCAGAGGAAUGAGGAGGACCCAUGGGAGGGUGUGGAGCCCGUCUAUAAAGGAACCCGGCCCUUGAACAACACACCUCCAUACAAAACACACACAGAGCCUCCCUGAGAAGCAGCAAAACAGGCCCGGCUUCCAGGCUUCCAGGAGUAUCAACAUUCCGUGGGGCAUCCCUGGGCUCUGCUGGCUAACAAAGCCGUGAGAGAUGGACAAGACUAGACCUCUAGGACGGCUUCAACUGAUCCACACAACACAAGGACACAAGGAACACAGGAGCAUGGAAUCACACACACACACACACACAAAGGCAUCAAGUAAUACAAACAACUGGACAUGUAGCUAAAAGGUCCCAAUUGAAGCACAGGAGAUUGCUUGGGGAGAUGAAUGUCUGUCAGUUCUAGGAUGUAUGGGUGUCAACUCAACCUCUGCCACUGGCUCAGAGACUCUAAGAAAGAGCCCUCUGCAGUUUCCAUCAACAACUCACUUAAAUGGAGGCAUCUUGCCAAACACGGUGUGAGAGUGUUGCCAUAUGUCUUCUAUGUAAAGGACUUCCUUUGCUUUAUUGCCUUGUUCAAGUGCUAGAUGAAACUAGGAAACUCAGAAAUGUCCGACUUGCUAACUGGUUGAACGCAGCACGUGGAUAACUACAACCAGUUCACAAGUCGAAAAAGUCUGUUUCCUAGUUCCGACUAGCACGUGAACACAGCAUUAGUUCAGCAAAAACAAGCCAUUAUCUCAUUCCUCAGGCGAUUCAGAGGACCAUGCCUGCCCUCUGCUGUACAAACAUGGAACUGAGGCAGUGAGGAAGCCUUGUAAUAUGCUUCACAGUUACACACAAAAACAGAAAAAGAGUAAUGCUGUCAUUUCCAUAUAGUUGUUGCAUAGGUUAAAAAUGGCAUCUCUUCCUUCUGAAAAAGCAUUUUCUUAGGCUGCCUAAAAUAGUGCAAUACGCUUUUGUAUCUCUUGCAUGAAAUAAAACAAAAAUGCAGAUGA